rnacentral:misc_RNA from 1 species
GAUGAAGAACGUAGCGAAAUGCGAUAAGUAAUGUGAAUUGCAGAAUUCAGUGAAUCAUCGAAUCUUUGAACGCACAUUGCGCCCCCUGGUAUUCCGGGGGGCAUGCCUGUUCGAGCGUCAUUUCACCACUCAAGCCUCGCUUGGUAUUGGGCGACGCGGUCCGCCGCGCGCCUCAAAUCGACCGGCUGGGUCUUUCGUCCCCUCAGCGUUGUGGAAACUAUUCGCUAAAGGGUGCCGCGGGAGGCCACGCCGUAAAACAACGCCAUUUCUAAGGUUGACCUCGGAUCAGGUAGGGAUACCCGCUGAACUUAAGCAUAUCAAUAAGCGGAGGA